UACGAAGGGGGCUAGCGUUGUUCGGAAUCACUGGGCGUAAAGCGCACGCAGGCGGAUUGAUAAGUCAGGGGUGAAAUCCCGGAGCUCAACUUCGGAAUUGCCUUUGAUACUGUCUGUCUUGAGUCCGGGAGAGGUGAGUGGAAUUCCUAGUGUAGAGGUGAAAUUCGUAGAUAUUAGGAAGAACACCAGUGGCGAAGGCGGCUCACUGGCCCGGUACUGACGCUCAUGUGCGAAAGCGUGGGGAGCGAACAGG
rnacentral:rRNA from 1 species